rnacentral:lncRNA from 1 species
AAGCACAGUAGGAGUAGCACGGUGGAGAGCUUCACCAUUAUGGAGUACGUGUGUCAAAGGUAGAGAGAGUUCUUCUCUAUAUAUGGCUUGUGAUGACCAUGGAAGGAGGUGGCUUCGAUUGCUUUUGCCAAGACGCAAGGGUUGAUUGCUGCAACCUCAGGUCGAAUUGCUUGUGUACAAGAUAUGCCCUUGUGGUGUUUAUCGGUCUUUAACAAGUCAAAAUGCUCAUUAAAUGAAGACAUUUCACCUCAUAUUAAAAAUUGGGAGAUAUACACCAAAAAUGUAAUGCUUGAAAAAGGCAAGAUGUACAUUUUAUAUUGAGAUAUGUAAAUCAUCAAGUAAAGCAAGCAAGUCUGAGGAGCUACUCAUCCUACAUUGAUGACAAAUUAGGAGAUAAAACUGUGGUCCUCUGUGGCUAUAAUAAUAAAUACAAGAUUUUAUCUCGGGAAGGAGUGGCAGCACUAAAGAGUAGACGUGCACGCAGGCAGGUGUGUGUGUGGAUAUAGAAUGCCACAUAUACUGCAUUAAAUAAGUAGUUCAUUGAAUUACCUUUCCCCCUUUUUGUGACCAUGUUUAUGUAGCAGCAAAUUGUCUUCAAGUCCAUUGGCAGAAAUGACUGCCUGUGGAGGAGAAUUUUCAUGUACUUUAGUGGGAAAUGUCAUGUAAGUGCAAUGAAUAAUCCAUAUACAUUAGCAUUGAGCAGAGACUAAAGACAACAUAUAUUUUCCUCAUCAAGAGCAAACCGAAUCAAAUACCAUGAGACCACAAACUAGUAUGCAUGCAGGAACUUCAACCACCUAACUUGAAGAAAGCCAAGUAAAAAAGUCAGGUUUCAACUUCAAAACAGCAACCACAUGUCGGUACCGAUGUAAGAAUCAUGUAUGCCAAACAAAAAAACCUAUGUGUAUCACUUGUUUAGAACAUAAGCAUCUUGAAUGCAGGAAACAGAAACAACUUGGGUGCAGGAUUAGACAGUAAAAAUGCUAAAGCAUGAGUUCGACCGAACCCUGGGCGACAAACUGUAUUAUGGAACCAAUACUAAUAGCUCUAUGGAUGCCAACUUCUGUCAUGACAAAUGUGAUUUUAGUAAUGAUUACAGGACACUACCCAACUGCUGUUCUUAUGAUAACCUUCUGUGGUCAUAUAAGCAAAACAAAGCAACUGAUGCUUGUCAACUACAAAUGUAAAAAAUAUUUUAUUUUCAUGAAGACUCGGUGUAACCAAUGAAAGCUGCUUCUCACAACAUAUGCAGGGAAUUUGAAAUAUUUCUUUACAUGUAAUUUUAACAAUCUAAGACUGUCUUGACAGUUAGUUCUUUGUCUUUUUAACCACAACAACACUAGCUGGUCCAAAUGUAUUAGAUAUGAUUAUUUGUAGAAAAGAAAUUGUACAUCUUGUCCUGCAAGUAUUUGCCCGUAACAGAGUUAAAUGGUUACAACACGUCCGUAAAGCCAACCUCAUUGAUACAUUACAGUUUCAUGUUGUUGCGAUUAAAAAGUUAUCAGAUUCCUAAAACAAAAAAAAAUCACAAAAUGGAUUCCGUAUAUAAAGACAUUGGCGUGACAGAUAUAAAUAGACGAUGUGAAAUCCACAAAAUAGAUGAUAGGUUACACAGUCAACGGCUCAAUAAAUGGCUCCAUCGUAGUACCGAAAGAUUAAAAAAAGAUUUCACACUCAAAUGAACAGAUUGGAAUUUCCAAAUGAUUCCAGGAGAAAGUGAGAAAGUUUCCUUUGGGCAUAUAAAGUACUGACAAAACUGGAGUUGAUGAAUGAUCUAUUACCAAAAAAAUCAAAUUAACAAUUCUUCUCCAACAAAAUAAUAUCUUAACAAAAUUCGAUGCCCAAUACCAGUAGCCUGUGCAAAGUAAUGGAAAUCCUUUUUUUACAUUCAUUCAGGCAAGAUAGUACAAAAUGAAAUACCAAAUAAUUUUUUAAUUAGAAUACCUGGCUUACACAAAGUAGUCGUACAAAGUUGGGAGCAGGUUUACAAGACAAUGAAAACUUACCAAUUCUAUGACCCAGCCAUAGAAAAUGUUCUGUUCUAUCAUGGAGUCACAUUAUCCAUUUUUCAUGACGUAUUAUUUGUCAAUAAGCAAUUAUAAUUACACAAGCAUUUUAAUAGUUGAACACAAAAUUGAUACUUUUACACCAAGUAAGAAUAUUUAACAUAUUGACUGUGAAAGCAACAACUGCAAAAAAAAAAAAAAGAAGAAGCACCAACAAAUAAAUUAUGAUCAAUGUUUUGAUAACUCUGAAUGAAUAGCAAGUCCUAGAACCAGAGAACUGGAUGUUCAAAAGAUAAAAUAGAAACUUUCAUCUGUAAGUCUCCUCCAAGAUGGGUUGAUGCCAUACAUCAAAUGACAAUAUUGCUAGCAGCUUGGCUUCCUAAUUGGAACACAUUACCUUCGGGUUAAGAACAGCUCACAGAAUAAUAAUAACUACUACUUGCCUUACCAACAUUCAACAACCACAAUAUGCAACAUCAAGGCAAAUCUGUGUACUUGAACCAUGACAACCAACAAACCUUCACAGUAGUUCAGGGUGUCUUUAGGUCAGCCAGGUUACCUUGACAAAUAUGGUUCACAGCAAUGGUACUGACUCUUUUUCCUUUUCUUUGAUCAUGGAGAUCCUUUUUAGAUUCUCAUUGCCAAGCAAUAUACAGAACUGCCUGAUGGUCUCCCUUGUCUAACCACUCCAUUCUCAUGGGACCAUAUGUGAGACUUCCACAUCAUACAGCUUUGUCCUGAACACCUUCCUGCUUGAUCUUCACUCAAGUAGGACUGCUAUUUGUCUGAUUGGUUCAGAAUCUAAAUUUAGAAAUAUUAUUUGAAAAACCCAAAUUUGUUAAUAAACUCAUUUCAUCAGCCUCAGCAUCCUCAAAAUUAAGCCAAGAAAAACAUGCAGCAUUUUUGCACAGUUGACUAGUCAGAUGCCUACAAUCUUUCUUGACACAACUGACAUAGAUGAAAACAUCUGAGAUAAACACACCUUCCCUAAUCCAUGAAAUGAAGCAGGCUACUGCUUUCAAGGGCAGGUUUAACCAUGCUUGAAAGUCAAAAAAGAUGGAGGCUACUACAGGUUUGACCAACUUGGCAUGUUCAUGUGCCUUGGUGCCACCACUGAAAGUAGAAUGUCUGCUACAAACGAAAUUUUGAAAUUAAAUAGAUGAAACAUAUGCUGAUUAGUAUCAUAAGCUCUAAAAAGACUUAGCCACGGGCCUUUAUAUGUGUAUGUGUGUGUGUGUGUAUAUAUAUAUAUAUAUAUAUAUAUAUAUAUAUAUAUAUAUAUACUACUACUACUACUACUACUACUACUACUACUUCUAAAGCCACCAUUCAGUGACUCCCUAAAAGACAAGUAGAGUUCAAGUGACAUAUAGGGAGGCUACAAAAUAAUGACUUGAGAACACUUGCUCAAACAUUUGGUAGGCGUUUCCUUUGAACAAAUUAAAUCGAUUUAAAUAUGAAUAAAGAACUAGGAUUUCCCAGGGAGAAAAAGCACAACGCAGUCGCGAAAUCAAAUAUCGAUAGCGCAUUAAAAACAAUAAAAUGCCUAGAUUAAACCACAAGAAAACAGGAAAAAAGAAUAAAAUAAUCCAUCACGAGGAAUCUCGAAGUCAAUCCGAAGAAGUUUCCAGCUUUUCUUAGAUCAUAGGCAGAAACUUUUCGAUUGAUCUACAACAGAGUAGAAACUUCAUUUAGGACAGAAGAGGAGAGACACCGAAAUCAGAUCAAAACAAAAACCUAGGUUUUCCAGGCAACGAACACAAGAUCCGAUCUCGAUGGCAGGCAAGAUAUUGGCCUGCAGAGACGACUUCUUGGUCCAUCACUACGCUGGAGAGACGGGGAGAGGGGGAAGGAGGACGCAUGGCUCGAGCAACGGAUCGCGGAGCUCGGAUUGAAAACUACCGAAGGCAUCACGGAUGAAUGAGUGAACAUUAGAUCAGAGUUCGCUUGGAGUACGGUUUUGCUCUCCUCACGGAUCCAUCCGCCGCUUCGAGAGCCGCCCCUCCCCACCCUAAACCCUAUCUCUUCUACCGUUCGACGGACGGUGGGUCGCAUCAAAUUUAAGCUGUGGUUGACGGGAAAGAGGCAACCUAAACCUUCA